GACGAACGCUGGCGGCAUGCUUAACACAUGCCAGUCGAACGGAAAGGCCCUGCUUUUGUGGGGUGCUCGAGUGGCGAACGGGUGAGUAACACGUGAGUAACCUGCCCUUGACUUUGGGAUAACUUCAGGAAACUGGGGCUAAUACCGGAUAGGAGCUCCUGCUGCAUGGUGGGGGUUGGAAAGUUUCGGCGGUUGGGGAUGGACUCGCGGCUUAUCAGCUUGUUGGUGGGGUAGUGGCUUACCAAGGCUUUGACGGGUAGCCGGCCUGAGAGGGUGACCGGCCACAUUGGGACUGAGAUACGGCCCAGACUCCUACGGGAGGCAGCAGUGGGGAAUAUUGCACAAUGGGCGGAAGCCUGAUGCAGCAACGCCGCGUGCGGGAUGACGGCCUUCGGGUUGUAAACCGCUUUCGCCUGUGGCGAAGCGUGAGUGACGGUAAUGGGUAAAGAAGCACCGGCUAACUACGUG
rnacentral:rRNA from 1 species